UACGAAGGGGGCUAGCGUUGCUCGGAAUGACUGGGCGUAAAGGGCGCGUAGGCGGUUUGGCCAGUCAGAUGUGAAAUUCCUGGGCUCAACCUGGGGGCUGCAUUUGAUACGUUCGGACUAGAGUGGGGAAGAGGGUCGUGGAAUUCCCAGUGUAGAGGUGAAAUUCGUAGAUAUUGGGAAGAACACCGGUGGCGAAGGCGGCGACCUGGUCCUUGACUGACGCUGAGGCGCGAAAGCGUGGGGAGCGAACAGG
rnacentral:rRNA from 1 species